AAGAGUUUGAUCAUGGCUCAGAUUGAACGCUGGCGGCAGGCCUAACACAUGCAAGUCGGGCGGUAGCACAAGGGAGCUUGCUCCCUGGGUGACGAGCGGCGGACGGGUGAGUAAUGUCUGGGAAACUGCCUGAUGGAGGGGGAUAACUACUGGAAACGGUAGCUAAUACCGCAUAACGUCUUCGGACCAAAGAGGGGGACCUUCGGGCCUCUUGCCAUCGGAUGUGCCCAGAUGGGAUUAGCUAGUAGGUGGGGUAAAGGCUCACCUAGGCGACGAUCCCUAGCUGGUCUGAGAGGAUGACCAGCCACACUGGAACUGAGACACGGUCCAGACUCCUACGGGAGGCAGCAGUGGGGAAUAUUGCACAAUGGGCGCAAGCCUGAUGCAGCCAUGCCGCGUGUGUGAAGAAGGCCUUCGGGUUGUAAAGCACUUUCAGCGGGGAGGAAGGGGGCAGGCUUAAUACGUCUGUUCAUUGACGUUACCCGCAGAAGAAGCACCGGCUAACUCCGUGCCAGCAGCCGCGGUAAUACGGAGGGUGCAAGCGUUAAUCGGAAUGACUGGGCGUAAAGCGCACGCAGGCGGUCUGUUAAGUUGGAUGUGAAAUCCCCGGGCUUAACCUGGGAACUGCAUUCAAAACUGACAGGCUAGAGUCUCGUAGAGGGGGGUAGAAUUCCAGGUGUAGCGGUGAAAUGCGUAGAGAUCUGGAGGAAUACCGGUGGCGAAGGCGGCCCCCUGGACGAAGACUGACGCUCAGGUGCGAAAGCGUGGGGAGCAAACAGGAUUAGAUACCCUGGUAGUCCACGCUGUAAACGAUGUCGAUUUGGAGGUUGUGCCCUUGAGGCGUGGCUUCCGGAGCUAACGCGUUAAAUCGACCGCCUGGGGAGUACGGCCGCAAGGUUAAAACUCAAAUGAAUUGACGGGGGCCCGCACAAGCGGUGGAGCAUGUGGUUUAAUUCGAUGCAACGCGAAGAACCUUACCUACUCUUGACAUCCAGCGAACCUUGUAGAGAUACGAGGGUGCCUUCGGGAACGCUGAGACAGGUGCUGCAUGGCUGUCGUCAGCUCGUGUUGUGAAAUGUUGGGUUAAGUCCCGCAACGAGCGCAACCCUUAUCCUCUGUUGCCAGCACUUCGGGUGGGAACUCAGGGGAGACUGCCGGUGAUAAACCGGAGGAAGGUGGGGAUGACGUCAAGUCAUCAUGGCCCUUACGAGUAGGGCUACACACGUGCUACAAUGGCGUAUACAAAGAGAAGCGACCUCGCGAGAGCAAGCGGACCUCAUAAAGUACGUCGUAGUCCGGAUUGGAGUCUGCAACUCGACUCCAUGAAGUCGGAAUCGCUAGUAAUCGUAGAUCAGAAUGCUACGGUGAAUACGUUCCCGGGCCUUGUACACACCGCCCGUCACACCAUGGGAGUGGGUUGCAAAAGAAGUAGGUAGCUUAACCUUCGGGAGGGCGCUUACCACUUUGUGAUUCAUGACUGGGGUGAAGUCGUAACAAGGUAACCGUAGGGGAACCUGCGGUUGGAUCACCUCCUUA
rnacentral:rRNA from 1 species